UCUCAGCGCUCCUCAUGAGAGUACAAGCAAUGAUACAUAGUUAAGUAAAGUAUUAUUACUUUCAGUUGUGUGUAAUGUAUCAUCUGCUAAAAACCGCCCAGCCCUAUGCUCGCGUCUACCGUGCCGCUGCAUCGCAUCGCAUCACAUCACAUCACAUCAGCUCGACGUGAAGUCCGCCCCCCCCCGCUCCACUCCAGCCUCGUGGCCCUCGCGAUUCACUUGCGCCCGGUGUUUUCCGACUUUCGUGUAUGUUGUCUUUGGUCACUUUUUCAUCUCAGAUUUGCUGGUCUACCUCUGGCGCUGGGAUGAACAAGUGAGGUCAAAAGGGCGUUUCAACAACCGGUGUUGAACGGAAGUGAAAGUGAUCGCGAAGUCAUUCGGCCCCGUGUGGCUGAUUUGACUGUUUUUGCACCCGUACUUGUGUCAUCUGUAACCGUUCCACUCGGCUGCCCGCCCCACCGUGGCUUUGUGCGCCCCUCGGGUUUUGAUUCCGACUUUCGCGUAUGUUCUUUUGCUCACUUUUUCACCUCAGGUUUACUGGUUAAUCUCCAGUUCUGGGACGAACAAGUGAGGCAAAUAAGGCGUUUCAGUCCUUGUUGAACGGGAGUGAAGCGAUCGCCCAGUCAUGCGCCCCCCGCUGUUCUGGCAGGCGCCGGCUCGCCCCGCCGCGGCAGCUCUUAUUUUGACCCUUUUGACUGGAGGUAGAAGCCGUUUGGUGCCCGGUGCUGCCCCGGCUCUCCUGGCGCGGAUGCGAUAUAUGGUGAGCGAUAUAACCGGGCUGCCUGACCGUCGUCUGCGCCAGGGAGGGUGGUUGCGCACUGUGUUUUGUUUUGUUCUCUCCGUCCUUGUCGCACUCCGCUGCCACCGGGAGGGAGAGGGCACGCGUAAACACAGUGUGGGAUCGCCCUGCAGAUCUGUGGGCCUCGCUCGGCAUUCAAACGUCUUCUACUUCGAGCCUGUUUGGUCGGCACCGAUGUUUCGGUGUCCCUAGCUAGCGCCCACGUCGCGCCCGUGCGCUCGCGUAGAGCUCGCGCAGGGAAUGACCUCUGUGCCCCGUGCAGUCUGACACUGCUACGCCCAAAGCAUUCUUUCGCGAAACGCGUGGUCUGCGCCCGCGGACCACAGCCCGGCCCCUUCGGUUUGUUUGUCCCCUCGUGUGCAUCGCCAGCAAGAGGAGCCCACGACGUGUCCUCCGGCCGCCGAUGCCCCGCCCCGUCCAAGCCGACUUCAACCGCAUCCACCUGGGCGAGCGCUGAGGCGGUGGCAUGGUCGCAGCUCAUGCCGCUGCCAACAAGGUAGGCCUCGUCUUUCGCCGCUAGAGUUUGUGUACAAUCGCUUUUUGUUUGGUCGCUCCACUUGUUCAGAUCUCUCUCACAGCCGAGUAUGGCGCCCUGUUACCCAAAGCCCAGUACGGCACUUAAUUUCUUUAUAUAAAGUUUCAGGUCUACUUAGCGAUACGUAACUUUGUUAGGGGGCUACAACUUCCAAAGGGUACUCAUCUCAAAUACACAACAAAGCUCAUUAAUGACUGCAUUGACAUUGUCGAACAAUGCUCUCAAGUCCUUUCGCGCCGUUUUGCUGCAGUCCGUGUUCAUUUUCCGCGAUCGCUCGGCGAUGUUUAACAGCUCACGUCGGGAUCGGAAGUUUAAUAGGGUAUUUCACCUGACCCAAACCAGAUCCAAAGAAGAACAAGAGUUCUUCCUGAACUCUUUCCUCGUUGGCGCUCAUUGGCUGAUGCCGACGAAGUUCUCGGACCGGACACUAGGGGUCGACCGCCCUUGCGGCCAGCUCAUGAACUUCGUCGGCGUCAGCCAAUCAGAGCAAGGGAGGAAAGAGUUCAGGAAGAACUCUUGUUUUUCUUUGAAUCCGGUUUGCGUCAGGUGAAGUACCCUAUUGUAUUUUCAUUUAACUUAAAGAUUUCAUCAACCGCGAUAUCAUUUAAUUUAAAUUUUAUCCACCGCGAUAUCAUUUAAAGUUUUAUCAACCGCGAUUUAUUAUAACCUAUUUUAAAUUUCAUAACUUUACGAAGACUUUGGGGAACAUUCUUCACUCCUCAAGGUCAGUCGUGUGUCCCAUUAGAUCGUCGUUAUGCUUUGUUUUGAGCCUAAUUUCUUAUAUAUUGUCCUAGCACUAGAGCCAGGCCCCCGCUGCUGUUUGACUCCGUCUCGACUCGGACGCAGCCCUGGGGCUAAGCAGGUGUGUCGCUGCGAGCGAGCUGUCUGCCCAAGCCCGCCGCCUUGUGCUUGCUGAGCUGUCUCCGCGUCUACAGCGUUGACUUUAUGGGACUACCGAUCUACUGUUCCAGCUGAGAGUCGACAUCUCAACUUUGCCGUGAUGAGCCCCUUCCCGCCUGGACUCUGCGUCGCUUAUGGCCGUGGUCAGCAGACUGCACAGCUGCCCCGGCCGUCGAGACCUCAGCCGCCUUCUCUGCUCUGGACUCCACCCUGGGAGAGCCAAGCAGUGCGUCACCACCACCAGGUCACCGCGGCCUCGUCGCCGCGGAGAGCCGCUCCCGUGUCUUCGGGGUCGUCUACAAAGUAACCGUGAGACGUGAGGCACGCCUGCACUCGUCAGGUGCAGCAGCCGCCCGCCCCGCGCCCCCACCGGGGCCUCCGCGGGACAUCCUCUAGCCAACGUUUCAGCUCCAGUGGAACGAAUUUCAGUUAAAUUGCUAUGUUCAGAUAUGCUCGUUUCUCCACUUGCUUUUCCAGUUCCAGGCGAGUUCCAGUACCACCCCCUGUCAGCAGGAAUUCAGUGCGGUCAACGAGGACAUCUCGACUCCAGGACCUCCGUCAACAAUCAACCCACUUCGGUCAGCUAAGGUAUCUCGACUCCAAUCGGAUCUCCAGGACUCUCCAACCUGAUAUUGGACUCCGCUUCUAACUCUGCUUUGCUGUCUCAGGGUAACCAUAAAAGGUUCAUUCUUGGUGACCAUGCCGCAAGCCAACAGCUCCCACAACUCUAAUUUGGUGCGAAAUUAUCUGGAACCUGCCACACUUUGGAUGGAUUGGCUGCAAUAAUGUCAGAUAAUAAAUACCUUCAAUAUAUCCAGUUCGAGGCCAGUUCCAGUUCCACCCUCUGUCAACAGGAACUCACUCCGGCCAGCGAAGACAUCUCAACCCUGAUACUUGCAAGACCUCCAGGACUACACCCCGACAUUGCUUCCUGCUUCUAACUCUGCUUUGCUGUCUCCAAGAAUAACCAGAAAAGGUUAUUUCAAUGCUCUGCUCUGCCACCGUGGAAUCCUUCUAUCUCCAAAUUUCAAGACACGCGAUUUAUUGUUCACCUUAAAUUAUUCUCUUACAUUGAGCAUUUAAGUAUAGUCAGAGUGUUUGCAUAUCAAUCUGUCCUUAUCUUUGAGUGCAGCAAGGUGUUUAUUUUCUGUACUUUGUGAAAUACGUUUGUAGCAUAUUAAUCUCUCUCAACUGUUGGACUUGCUCUUCUUGACUGACUCCCCUUCUUUGUACAUCUUUGAGCAUGAUCACCUACUUUGUUGGUUGUAGUUUUUGAAUUUAUUUUUUAGUUUGUUGCAU